rnacentral:tRNA from 1 species
GGUCCGUUAACCAAGUGGUUAAGGUGGGGCUCUGCAAAAGCUCAUUCUCCGGUUCGAAUCCGGGACGGACCU